GACGAACCGAGCGAACGUUGUUCGGAAUCACUGGGCUUAAAGGGCGCGUAGGCGGGCUGCCAAGUCUGGGGUGAAAUCCUCCGGCUCAACCGGGGAAGGGCCUUGGAUACUGGCGGUCUGGAGGGAGGUAGGGGCGUGCGGAACUGUAGGUGGAGCGGUGAAAUGCGUUGAGAUUGGCAGGAACGCCGGUGGCGAAAGCGCGUCGCUGGACCCCUCCUGACGCUGAGGCGCGAAAGCCAGGGGAGCAAACGGG
rnacentral:rRNA from 1 species